GGGCAGCUACCUGGUGACAGGAUGCGAAUCUCGAAAGCCGGUCUCAGUUCGGAUUGGAGGCUGAAACUCGCCUCCAUGAAGUUGGAUUCGCUAGUAAUCGCGCAUCAGCCAUGGCGCGGUGAAUACGUUCCCGGGCCUUGUACACACCGCCCGUCAAGCCAUGGGAGUUGGGGGUGCCUGAAGUACGUGACCGCAAGGAGCGUCCUAGGGCAAAACCGAUGACUGGGGCUAAGUCGUAACAAGGUAUC
rnacentral:rRNA from 1 species